GUAGCGAAGUGCAAGUAAAAGUACGUACUAUUUACUUGUACCAGCGGUACAAGUAACGAAAGUAGAAGUACUGCCAUAUAUGCCCAUACUUGGUGAAAAGUUUCUAAUUGCACCAUAAAUUGGUUAAAUAAGAAACUGUUUUAUUUAAGUUGAAACAUAAAUCGGUAAAUAUGAUCGAGAAAUAUAUUCAUGGCGCAAUCGAUUGCACCAAACUUUCGUACUGUGAGAGGCACAAACUUUAACUGUGACCGAUAACUUAUCUUGUAACUGUUGACUAAUGGCGGAUUUUGUUGUCGAAGCCAGCUAUCAUCUCAUGCAAGUUGUCUUUGAAAUUGUCUAUUUCUUUUGCAGGAUUUUUGUGGUUGAAAGGAGGCUUUAAAAAAACACACAGGUACCAACAACUUCAAUGCUUUUAGUCAAGAAAAAGGCUUAGGAAAAAAUAUUGUUAUAGCAAGUGCCAAACCUAUUGAUAAAAGUAUUUAUUCUACCGAAAAUACCAGAAUUCUAGAAGGUUAUAAACAGUUUUUCGAAACUUCAUAAGUACUAGAUUCAAGAACAGCUUACAAACAAGGAAUGUGUAUAGUUUCAAAUUUUGAGAAUGAAGGAACCCAUGUUUGGCAAAACAAUUACUUUGUGAAAAGACUGCAAAGUUUUAUUUGUAUGUAAUCAUUUUAAAUCUCGUUGAGUUUUUUACACAAAGGGUUAUCAACUGAAAAAUGUGAUGUAGUUAAAGUAAUAGCACCAGAGAAUCUAUAAUAAUGAAUAUAUAAUAAUGAAUAUAAUAAUGAAUAUAUAAUAAAAAUAUUACUUUUUUUCAAAUACUCACCACCAUUUACUA